AUGUCUGUUUUACUGAGGAGACUGAGGCGCGCAGACCCGACAGCUGCCUCUGUGCUGGAACGAGCAGAUUUUUGCAGCGAUUCAGAGAUCCAGUCUCUGACCCGAGAAGACCUGCACGAGCUGUUUCCUGGACCUGAGAAGCUGAAGCUGAGGAGGAGAAUCUUUGGAAUAAUACACAAAAGAGUGAGCACCUUCCGGGAUAUUUCUGCACGCACACAAACCCACAGCUGCACAAUGUGUGUACUUUUCACCAUUGUUGCUUUUUUUACACAGAAACCAGUUGCUGUGCUUCUCAAAGAGCUUCAUGGUUCCAUCCCACAAGAUGCUCUCAGAGCCGCUCUGUCCAACAACAGGUUGUUAUUGGACUACCUCCACGUCCUGAGGGAUGUGAAGACUCAGCUGAACGUUGUGCAGAGUUUCCUCGAAGCCCACCUUGGUUUACUGGAGGACAUCAGCAAAGCUCCACUGGAGCAGCAACGCGGCCGAGGUGGAUUAAACAGCCCAAACUCUUCUCUUCCCUGUUCUCCAGUCGAUCAUGACACUCCAGGGGAUGUGUAUUCUUACAGGGCUCAAGUGAUGUACCAGAUGGUCAUCAGUGGUAAGACCUUCGAUGCCCACCUUCAGCUGAUGGCCAAGGUUCAGGCUCUCCUUCAGGACAAGCUUCAGCUCAUUUCAUGCUGCCAGGAUGGUCAGAUCAUCAUUAUGUUCUGCACCAUCACUUCACAGAGUGGAUCAGACAUUCAUUCGGCCAUGACUCGUGUAACGGGUAAAAAAAAUACAUCAUCAUACCACUAGAUGUCAUUGUUUCCGACAGACUGGACCUUUAAUUUGAAAUGUCUCCCCCCUGACUGUCCAUUUGCUCUCCACAGGUAAUGAACCUGUCAUCCUGGUUCUGAUGCAUCACACACUGGAGGUCAAACACACACUUUUAAGAAGAACGUGGUCUCAUUACUCCAAUAUUGUGUUGCACGUCAACGUUUUCUACCACGAGGCAGCAGGUGGAUUACUGAGAUGUCAAGAAAACAAUGCUGCUGCCUCCUGGAUUCAGAGCAGAUUACUGGAAUACAGCCUGCCGAGGAAUAGGUGCAGCUUGAGUGGUGAAUGUGAUGGUGCUGUUAAUGAUCGAGGCUCUCGUGUUGACGGUAGCGGCAGUUUUAGGCUGUUCAGCAGUGGCAGCAGCAGCAGUAGCAGCACCAGUAGUAGUGAUAGUUGUAGUAAAAGUAUCUGGGGCCCUGGGGAGUAGACAAUACCACAAGUUCUGGUGGUAACUAAACUGACUUACUUUUGAUAAUGAUGUGAUAAUGUAGAUGCAUUUACAUUAUGAGUUUCAUUCGUCACUAUGUGUGUUGGUCUGUCAUUUCCUAUUUAACAUAUUUUAUUUUAUAUUAUUGUAAUAUUUCCCUUAUGAUUCUUAAGUUCCUGUUGGUUCUAGUCAACUGGAUGAUGCAAAUUAAAUAAAUUAUAGCACGUUGUUCUUUGUGUAGAAAUAUUUUUUUUACCUUUUUUAUAUUAUGCUUGUCAAUUAUCUCAUACUUACAUAAUGUAUGAGGACUAAUCUUUGACAAAUUAUAAUAUAAAUAAUAAUAUGUCAACAAACUAAGGGUUUAUACGUAUUAAUUAGGUCAACUACAUCCCAGAAUUUCUGGCUUUUGAGAGUAUGUUUUUUUCUGCCCUCUUGCGGAAGUAAGCUGUUACUACAAUGUUCACAUAAAGCUAAACGAGACAUAACUGAGCACUUCCUGUAAAGUAUUUCAAAAUAAAUAUUUUUAAAUGCCUGUUUAAAUUAGCGCCAACGGCAUAAAUUAUUUAAUUUUCAGGGUAAAAAGUAUUAAAUCAACAAGCUAAAGCAGGUCCUAAAGCAAUUCAAACCACAUUGAUUUGAAUGUCUUUGCUACAAACUUCAGAUCAUGCGUCCUCUGGUGGUAACAACGAAAAUAUGUCCACUGUUUUAAAGGGAUUUUGCUCACCUAAUAAAUUUCAAUUAUGUAUUAAUAGGUAAUAAUCCCAAACAUAUUAAAAUUAUCUGAUUUUCAGUUUAUUUAAUUCAAUACUAAAAAGAAUAUAUUCUGUUAAAUACUAAAACAAUGGAAAUAUAACACUUUAAAUUUUAAAUUUAUGUGAAAAAAAUCCCACUUAUGUGUAAAACAGCCAGUCUUUGCAAACACAAACUAAUUUUUUUUAAAUGUUUCAUUUAAAGCAGGAACAAAAGCAGCUCAAUUGCAAAAAAAUAAGGCUUUAACAUUGAUUUGUAACACUUUCUACAGAAAUUAUACAAAUCCACUAAAGUAUCAAUAUUAAAAUAUGUUGAUAACGUGCGAAGUAAUAUUUGGAAUAUGUGGGCCUAGUUAAAAUUACAUGAAGUGAAUGUAAAAAUGGCUUCAGAUAGGUUAGGAUAAAGAGGAAGUAAGUGGGUAUUUAUUAGAGAAGGAGUGGGAUUAAAUGAGAUUAUUCUUCCUUCUAUUUCAACAUGUGAUAGUUCAGAAAAGUAAGACUCGUUAAUUGUUAUUUUUCUGGUUUCUUUGUUGUUGUGCGACACAUAUUCAAAAGCCUUAUUCAGUUGCAUUUUUAAGCCACAAAUUGGUUAAUUUUAUUUUAGUUUAAAGAACUAAAAAAGUAACUAAUUAAGGUUUAGCUGUUUUAUUUUUUAAUCAAUAAAAAUCGAUACAUUUUUGUAGUAUUUAUUUAGAAACCGCUGUGUGUGCGCGCGCGCGCACGUGUGUGUUAAAUCCUACAAUAUAAAGUUUCUGCUCUUCAUGGUAAACAAAAUCACAAUGUUCACCAAAACACCGGUGUUUUGGAACGUUCUGUUGGGUUCCAGCAUUUUGCGUCAUUGCGUCAUUACGUUCUAGCGUCAGACUGCAGCUGACUGUGUUUUCAUUCUCUUUCACUUUUCUUUUCCGAUGAAAGGCGUUUACGGCCGGACGGAGGAAACGAAGGUCUCUCUAUGUGUUUCUUCUUUUUACUUGGUUUACUUAAACGACUGCUAACCUAAGUUAUAUUAGUCGUCUAGCUUAAGCUUUUGCUCGUGUUUAGUUUAGCUAAAGCUUCGAACUUUGAUUCCAGUAGUGAACUUUCGAUUUAUGUUUAUGUAUUUAGCAGACGCUUUUGUCCAAAGCUAGUUACAAGUGAUGAUCGGCAUGUUGCCCUUGAGGCUAACAACAAUAACAACAACAACUUGACAUCAAUCAUGGAGAGGAGGGAACAAGAAGUGGACAGUAGAGAGGGGGACGGGUGCAGGGAGAGACUGCGGUCAAGCGAGCCGCACCUACAAUUGAAGUCUCGCUGCUGGAGAGGAGCUGAGAUGAGCGACAGAAUGGGCUGACGUCAUGAUGACACGGAGCUGCUAAAUGUGCCUUUUUGAUAAAGGAUAGAAUUGUGUUUUUAAAAAAGGACACUAAGCAUCCUAUACAUACAUACUAAGUUCCUCGAGUACUACCUGGUACCAAAGUAUGAACUACUUUUACUGUGUACUUUUUCAGUUAUUGUACUACAAGUUACGUACAAUAAGCUCAACGUGCAGUGUUUGAGAUAGCCGGUAUUUGGGAAAAAGGACACAAGGCCACCUAUACUUGCAUACUAACUACCUCGAGUACUACCUGGUACCAAAGUAUGAACUAAUUUCACUGUGUACUUUUUCAGUUAUUGUACUUCAAAGUACGUACAAAAAGCUCAUUGUGCCGUGUUUGAGAUAGGAUAAAAUGAGAUUUGGGAAAAAGGACACUAGGUCACCUAUGCAUGCAUACUAAGUACCUCGAGUACUACCUGGUAACAAAGUAUGAACUAAUUUUACUGUGUACUUUUUCAGUUAUUGUACUUCAAAUUACGUACAAAAAGCUCAAUGUGCCGUGUUUGAGAUAGGAUAAAACGGUAUUUGGGAAAAAGGCCACUAGGCCACCUAUACAUGCAUACUAAGUACCUCGAGUACUACCUGGUACCAAAGUAUGAAGUGUUCUUUUUCCCAAAUACCGUUUCAUCCUAUCUCAAACAUGGCAUGUAGAGCUUUUUGUACGUAAUUUGAAGUACAAUUACUAAAAAAGUACACAGUAAAAGUAGUUCAUACUUUGGUAGCAGGUACUACUCGAGGUACUUAGUAUGCAUGUAUAGGUGGCCUAGUGUCCUUUUUACCAAAUCUCAUUUUAUCCUAUCUCAAACACUGCACGUUAGCUUUUUGGACAUGCUUUGAAGUACAAGUACUCAAAAAGUACACAGUAAAAGUAGUUCAUAGUUUGGUACCAGGUAGUACUCGAGGUACUUAGUAUGUGUGUAUCAAAAAGGCACAUUUAGCAGCUCUGUCAUCCUGAUUUCAGCCAAUUCUGACGCUCAUCUCAGCUCUAAUCCUGCAGCAGACGGUGUUACCGUAAAGUACCAUGUAAAUGCGCACUUCAAUUGUAGGUGCGGCUCACUUUACCACGGACAAACGAACGACGCUCACUUGACCGCAGUCAGGGACGGUGCUAGUUUAGAAGAUGCUCUCUGAAGAGCAGGGUCUUCAGGAGUGAAAAUUGAAAAGGAAGCCCCUGUUCUGGUAGUGCUUGGUAGGUCGUUCCACAUUUGUGGAACGAUGCAUGAGAAGAGUUUGGAUUGUCCUGAGCGUGGUGUAGGCACUGCUAGCCGACAAUCCUGUGAUGACCGGAACGGCCGGGCCGAGACGUAAGCCUUUGCAAGAGGAUUCAGGUAGAUGGGAGCCGUACCAUCUCGGACUUUGUAUGCUAGUGUUAGCAAUUUGAAUUUGAUGCGUGCUGCUAGUGGUAGCCAGUGGAGCUCAAUGAACAGAGGGGUGACGUGUGCUCUUUUUGGCUGAUUGAAGACCAGACGCGCCGCUGCGUUCUGGACCAUUUGAAGAGGUCUCACAGUACAGCCUGGAAGACCAGUUAGAAGGGCGUUGCAGUAAUCGAGGCGGGAGAUGACAGUAGAUUGCACCAGGAGCUGGGUGGCAUGUUGUGUUAGGUAUGGUCUGAUCUUUCGUAUGUUAUACAGCGUAAAGCGGCAUGAACGAGCAACAGAGGCAACUGAUCUUUAAAGGUCAGGUGUUCAUCAAUCACAACACCCAGAUUUCGAACUGCCUUUGAAGGAGCCAGAGAUAGGAAGUCAUUUUGGAUUGAGAUAUUGUGCUGUAUGGAUGGUUUUGCUGGGAUGACAAGUAGUUCAGUUUUAGAGAGGUUGAGUUGGAGAUGGUGGGAUUUCAUCCAUUUUGAUAUGUCAGAGAGACAGUUUGAUAUUCGUGCAGAGACAGUGUGGUCGUCCGGUGGAAAUGACAGAUAGAGCUGGGUGUCGUCUGCAUACCAGUGGUAGGAGAAGCCAUGUGAUCGCAUGAUCUCACCCAGUGAGGUGGUGUAUAUGACAAAGAGAAGAGGCCCUAGUACAGAGCCCUGGGGGACUCCUGUGGCAAGAUGGUGCACGGUAGAAGAUUGUCCAAGUCAAGAUACACUGAAUGAUCAUCCUGUGAGGUACGAUUCAAACCAGGCGUGUGCUUUCUCUGUGAUGCCCAUGCUAGAGAGUGUGGACAAAAGGAAGCCAUGGUUGACAGUGUCAAAUGCAGCCGAUAAGUCGAGCAGGAUAAGCGCUGAGGAUUUGCCAGUCGCUCUAGCUUCUUUUAGGAUUCAGUCACUGCUAACAGAGCAGUUUCAGUGGAGUGGCCCUUUUUGAACCCAGAUUGGUAAGGGUCAAGCAGACAGCUUUGUGAGAGGUAUUCUGUGAUCUGCUUGAAAGCCGCACUUUCAAUUUCUUCAUUAUCCCAUUAGGAAUUAAUUUUUGGCUCUCUGUA
ensembl:lncRNA